rnacentral:rRNA from 1 species
CAAGUCGAACGGUAGCACAGAGAGCUUGCUCUUGGGUGACGAGUGGCGGACGGGUGAGUAAUGUCUGGGAAACUGCCCGAUGGAGGGGGAUAACUACUGGAAACGGUAGCUAAUACCGCAUAACGUCGCAAGACCAAAGUGGGGGACCUUCGGGCCUCACACCAUCGGAUGUGCCCAGAUGGGAUUAGCUAGUAGGUGGGGUAAUGGCUCACCUAGGCGACGAUCCCUAGCUGGUCUGAGAGGAUGACCAGCCACACUGGAACUGAGACACGGUCCAGACUCCUACGGGAGGCAGCAGUGGGGAAUAUUGCACAAUGGGCGCAACCCUGAUCCAGCCAUGCCGCGUGUGUGAAGAAGGCCUUAUGGUUGUAAAGCACUUUAAGCGAGGAGGAGGGUACUGGUAUUAAUAC